GUGGGGAAUAUUGGACAAUGGGCGAAAGCCUGAUCCAGCCAUGCCGCGUGCAGGAUGAAGGCCUUCGGGUUGUAAACUGCUUUUGUACGGAACGAAAAGACUCCUUCUAAUAAAGGGGGUCCAUGACGGUACCGUAAGAAUAAGCACCGGCUAACUACGUGCCAGCAGCCGCGGUAAUACGUAGGGUGCAAGCGUUAAUCGGAAUUACUGGGCGUAAAGCGUGCGCAGGCGGUUAUAUAAGACAGAUGUGAAAUCCCCGGGCUCAACCUGGGAACUGCAUUUGUGACUGUAUAGCUAGAGUACGGUAGAGGGGGAUGGAAUUCCGCGUGUAGCAGUGAAAUGCGUAGAUAUGCGGAGGAACACCGAUGGCGAAGGCAAUCCCCUGGACCUGUACUGACGCUCAUGCACGAAAGCGUGGGGAGCAAACAGGAUUAGAAACCCUUGUAGUCC
rnacentral:rRNA from 1 species